CAGCAGCCGCGGUAAUACAGAGGGUGCGAGCGUUAAUCGGAUUUACUGGGCGUAAAGCGUGCGCAGGCGGUUAUAUAAGACAGAUGUGAAAUCCCCGGGCUCAACCUGGGAACUGCAUUUGUGACUGUAUAGCUAGAGUACGGCAGAGGGGGAUGGAAUUCCGCGUGUAGCAGUGAAAUGCGUAGAUAUGCGGAGGAACACCGAUGGCGAAGGCAAUCCCCUGGGCCUGUACUGACGCUCAUGCACGAAAGCGUGGGGAGCAAACAGGAUUAGAUACCCCGGUAGUCCCUGUCUCUUAUAA
rnacentral:rRNA from 1 species